GACGAACGCUGGCGGCGUGCCUAACACAUGCAAGUGGAGCGACGAACCAGGGCUUGCCCUGGAGCAGAGCCGCGAACGGGUGAGUAACACGUGGGUAACCUGCCCCGAUGACCGGGACAACCCGAGGAAACUCGGGCUAAUACCGGAUGUGAUGUCCACACACAAAGUGUGUCCAUCAAAGGAAGCUUCGGCCUCCACAUCGGGGAUGGGCCCGCGGCCCAUUAGCAGUUGGUGGGUAAAGGCCUACCAAGGCAACGAUGGGUAGCUGGUCUGAGAGGACGAUCAGCCACACUGGGACUGAGACACGGCCCAGGACUCCUACGGGAGGCAGCAGUGGGAAUCUUGCGCAAUGCGCGAAAGCGUGACGCAGCAACGCCGCGUGAGGGAAGACGGCCUGGU
rnacentral:rRNA from 1 species